rnacentral:misc_RNA from 1 species
CGCACUGCACUAUCCGGACGACACCCCCGUGAUAGUAUGCCCCAUUGAGCGUUAUUUGUUCGUUCGGAUGCCGCAUUUGCUUGUGGCAGACGAGUUCGAGGUUCACACCGUUCAGGUGCGCUCCUUGAGAUGCAUUAAGGGCCGUUGAAGGUCAAGCUCGUGCCACGUCACUGUGAUGAUUUUGCAGUCGAUGAAACGAUGGCGAUCUAAAGACGGCCUUUGACAACCGCCGUCAGGCAAACCUGGUGCAUUGCACACCCCCCUUCGUACAUAACCUCAGUGGGGUAGGACAACCCGCUAGACUUAAGCAUAUUAAUCAGCGGAGGAAAAGAAACUAACAAGGAUUCCCCCAGUAACUGCGAGUGAAGAGGGAACGGC